rnacentral:rRNA from 1 species
UACGUAGGGUGCGAGCGUUGCCCGGAUUUAUUGGGCGUAAAGCGCGUGUAGGCGGCCCGGUAAGUCCGCUGUGAAAGUCGGGGGGCUCAACCCUCGGAUGCCGGUGGAUACUGUCGGGCUAGAGUGCGGGAGAGGCGAGUGGAAUUCCUGGUGUAGCGGUGAAAUGCGCAGAUAUCAGGAGGAACACCGGCGGUGUAGACGGCUUGCUAGACCAUAACUGACGCUGAGGCACGAAAGCGUGGGUAGCAAACAGG